rnacentral:siRNA from 1 species
UUAAGUGACCGGUUUAGGUGUUGU